GAUGAACGCUGGCGGCGUGCCUAAUACAUGCAAGUCGAGCGAACAGACGAGGAGCUUGCUCCUUUGACGUUAGCGGCGGACGGGUGAGUAACACGUGGGUAACCUACCUAUAAGACUGGGAUAACUUCGGGAAACCGGAGCUAACACCGGAUAAUAUUUCGAACCGCAUGGUUCGUUAGUGAAAGAUGGCUUUGCUAUCACUUAUAGAUGGACCUGCGCCGUAUUAGCUAGUUGGUAAGGUAACGGCUUACCAAGGCAACGAUACGUAGCCGACCUGAGAGGGUGAUCGGCCACACUGGAACUGAGACACGGUCCAGACUCCUACGGGAGGCAGCAGUAGGGAAUCUUCGGCAAUGGGCGAAAGCCUGACGGAGCAACGCCGCGUGAGUGAUGAAGGUCUUCGGAUCGUAAAACUCUGUUAUUAGGGAAGAACAAACGUGUAAGUAACUGUGCACGUCUUGACGGUACCUAAUCAGAAAGCCACGGCUAACUACGUG
rnacentral:rRNA from 1 species